AGUGAACGCUGGCGGUAGGCCUAACACAUGCAAGUCGAACGGCAGCACAGUAAGAGCUUGCUCUUACGGGUGGCGAGUGGCGGACGGGUGAGGAAUACAUCGGAAUCUACUUUUUCGUGGGGGAUAACGUAGGGAAACUUACGCUAAUACCGCAUACGACCUACGGGUGAAAGCAGGGGAUCUUCGGACCUUGCGCGAUUGAAUGAGCCGAUGUCGGAUUAGCUAGUUGGCGGGGUAAAGGCCCACCAAGGCGACGAUCCGUAGCUGGUCUGGGAGGAUGAUCAGCCACACUGGAACUGCGACACGGUCCAGACUCCUACGGGAGGCAGCAGUGGGGAAUAUUGGACAAUGGGCGCAAGCCUGCUCCAGCCAUACCGCGUGGGUGAAGAAGGCCUUCGGGCUGUAAAGCCCUUUUGUUGGGAAAGAAAAGCAGCAGGUUAAUACCCCGCUGUUCUGACGGUACCCAAAGAAUAAGCACCGGCUAACUUCGUG
rnacentral:rRNA from 1 species